AUACGUAGGGAGCGAGCGUUGUCCGGAUUUACUGGGUGUAAAGGGUGCGUAGGCGGCUCUGCAAGUCAGGUGUGAAAACCAUCGGCUUAACUGAUGGACUGCAUUUGAAACUGUGGGGCUUGAGUGAAGUAGAGGCAGACGGAAUUCCCGGUGUAGCGGUGAAAUGCGUAGAGAUCGGGAGGAACACCAGUGGCGAAGGCGGUCUGCUGGGCUUUAACUGACGCUGAGGCACGAAAGCAUGGGUAGCAAACAGGAUUAGAUACCCUGGUAGUCCAUGCCGUAAACGAUGAUUACUAGGUGUGGGGGGUCUGACCCCCUCCGUGCCGGAGUUAACGCAAUAAGUACCCCGCCUGGGGAGUACGGCCGCAAGGUUGAA
rnacentral:rRNA from 1 species